rnacentral:rRNA from 1 species
GAGUUUGAUCAUGGCUCAGAUUGAACGCUGGCGGCAUGCCUUACACAUGCAAGUCGAACGGCAGCACGGGAGCUUGCUCCUGGUGGCGAGUGGCGAACGGGUGAGUGAUGCAUCGGAACGUAUCCUGGAGUGGGGGAUAACGUAGCGAAAGUUACGCUAAUACCGCAUAUUCUGUGAGCAGGAAAGCGGGGGACCUUCGGGCCUCGCGCUCUUGGAGCGGCCGAUGUCGGAUUAGCUAGUUGGUGAGGUAAAGGCUCACCAAGGCGACGAUCCGUAGCAGGUCUGAGAGGAUGAUCUGCCACACUGGAACUGAGACACGGUCCAGACUCCUACGGGAGGCAGCAGUGGGGAAUUUUGGACAAUGGGGGCAACCCUGAUCCAGCCAUGCCGCGUGAGUGAAGAAGGCCU